UACAGAGGUCUCGAGCGUUAGGCGGAAUCACUGGGCUUAAAGCGUGUGUAGGCGGAUCGGUAAGUACCUUGUGAAAUCCCACAGCUUAACUGUGGAACUGCUUGGUAUACUGCCAGUCUUGAGCCAGCUAGGGGCUACCGGAACAAAUGGUGGAGCGGUGAAAUGCGUAGAUAUCAUUUGGAACGUCAAUGGUGAAAACAGGUAGCUGGGGCUGUGCUGACGCUGAGACACGAAAGCCAGGGGAGCAAACGGG
rnacentral:rRNA from 1 species